rnacentral:rRNA from 1 species
GACGAACGCUGGCGGCGUGCUUAACACAUGCAAGUCGAACGGAAAGGCCCUGCGUUUGUGGGGUGCUCGAGUGGCGAACGGGGGAGUAACACGUGAGGAACCUGCCCUUGACUUUGGGAUAACUUCAGGAAACUGGGGCGAAUACCGGAUAGGAGCUCCUGCUGCAUGGUGGGGGUUGGAAAGUGUCGGCGGUUGGGGAUGGACUCGCGGCUUAUCAGCUUGUUGGUGGGGUAGUGGCUUACCAAGGCUUUGACGGGUAGCCGGCCUGGGAGGGUGACCGGCCACAUUGGGCCUGCGAUACGGCCCAGACUCCUACGGGAGGCAGCAGUGGGGAAUCUUGCACAAUGGGCGGACGCCUGAUGCAGCAACGCCGCGUGCGGGAUGACGGCCUUCGGGUUGUAAACAGCUUUCGCCUGUGACGAAGCGUGCGUGACGGUAAUGGGUAAAGAAGCACCGGCUAACUACGUG